CGCCUAACACAUGCAAGUCGAACGCAGUAGCAAUACUGAGUGGCAAACGGGUGAGUAUAAUGUGGGAAUCUGCCUUUUGGUUUGGAAUAACACGGGGAAACUUGUGCUAAUACCGAAUAAGCCCUUACGGGGAAAGUUUUAACGCCGAAAGAUGAGCCUGCACUUGAUUAGCUAGUUGGUAAGGUAAAGGCUUACCAAGGCAACGAUCAAUAGCUGUUCUUAGAGGAAGACCAGCCACAUUGGGACUGAGACACGGCCCAGACUCCUACGGGAGGCAGCAGUGGGGAAUCUUGCACAAUGGGGGAAACCCUGAUGCAGCGAUGCCGCGUGAGUGAAGAAGGCCCUUGGGUUGUAAAACUCUUUCGUCGGGGAAGAAAAUGACUGUACCCGAAUAAGAAGGUCCGGCUAACUUCGUGCCAGCAGCCGCGGUAAUACGAAGGGACCUAGCGUAGUUCGGAAUUACUGGGCUUAAAGAGCUCGUAGGUGGUUAAAAAAGUUGAUGGUGAAAUCCCAAGGCUCAACCUUGGAACUGCCAUCAAAACUUUUUAGCUAGAGUGUGAUAGAGGUAAGUGGAAUUUCUAGUGUAGAGGUGAAAUUCGUAGAUAUUAGAAAGAACACCAAAUGCGAAGGCAACUUACUGGGUCACUACUGACACUGAGGAGCGAAAGCAUGGGUAGCGAAGAGGAUUAGAUACCCUCGUAGUCCAUGCCGUAAACGAUGUGUGCUAGACGUUGGAAAUAUAUUUUUCAGUGUCGCAGCGAAAGCAUUAAGCACACCGCCUGGGGAGUACGACCG
rnacentral:rRNA from 1 species